UACAGAGGUCUCAAGCGUUGUUCGGAUUCAUUGGGCGUAAAGGGUGCGUAGGCGGCGCGGUAAGUCGGGUGUGAAAUCUCGGAGCUUAACUCCGAAACUGCAUUCGAUACUGCCGUGCUUGAGGACUGGAGAGGAGACUGGAAUUUACGGUGUAGCGGUGAAAUGCGUAGAUAUCCGGAGGAACACCGGUGGCGAAGGCGGCUUCCUGGACCGACACUGACGCUGAUGCGCGAAAGCUAGGGGAGCAAACAGG
rnacentral:rRNA from 1 species